UAGGGAAUAUUGGACAAUGGGGGGAACCCUGAUCCAGCCAUGCCGCGUGGAGGAAGACUGCCCUCUGGGUUGUAAACUCCUUUUAUAUGGGAAGAACCGUACUCAUUGAUGAGUGACCUGACGGUACCAUAGGAAUAAGCACCGGCUAACUCCGUGCCAGCAGCCGCGGUAAUACGGAGGGUGCAAGCGUUAUCCGGAUUCACUGGGUUUAAAGGGUGCGUAGGCGGAUAUGUAAGUCAGUGGUGAAAUCAACGGGCUCAACCUGUUAACUGCCAUUGAUACUGUGUAUCUUGAAUAUGAGAGAGGUAGGCGGAAUGUUGCAUGUAGCGGUGAAAUGCUUAGAUAUGCUACGGAACACCGAUUGCGAAGGCAGCUUACUAUUUCGUAAUUGACGCUGAGGCACGAAAGCGUGGGUAGCGAACA
rnacentral:rRNA from 1 species